AUUGAACGCUGGCGGCAGGCCUAACACAUGCAAGUCGAACGAGUGGCGGACGGGUGAGUAAUGUCUGGGAAACUGCCUGAUGGAGGGGGAUAACUACUGGAAACGGUAGCUAAUACCGCAUACCAUCAAAUGUGACCAGAUGGGAUUAGCUAGUUGGUGGGGUAACGGCUUACAAAGGCGACGAUCCCUAGCUGGUCUGAGAGGAGGACCAGCCACACUGGAACGGAGACACGGUCCAGACUCCUACGGGAGGCAGCAGUGGGGAAUAUUGCACAAUGGGCGAAAGCCUGAUGCAGCCAUGCCGCGUGUAUGAUGAAGGCCUUCGGGUUGUAAAGUACUUUCAGCGGGGAGGCGUUACCCGCAGAAGAAGCACCGGCUAACUCCGUGCCAGCAGCCGCGGUAAUAC
rnacentral:rRNA from 1 species